GACGAACGCUGGCGGCGUGCUUAACACAUGCAAGUCGAACGGAAAGGCUCUGCUUUUGUGGGGUGCUCGAGUGGCGAACGGGUGAGUAACACGUGAGUAACCUGCCCUUGACUUUGGGAUAACUUCUGGAAACUGGGGCUAAUACCGGAUAGGAGCUCCUGCUGCAUGGUGGGGGUUGGUAAGUUUCGGCGGUUGGGGACGGACUCGCGGCUUAUCAGCGUGUUGGUGGGGUAGUGGCUUACCAAGGCUUUGACGGGUAGCCGGCCUGAGAGGGUGACCGGCCACAUUGGGACUGAGAUACGGCCCAGACUCCUACGGGAGGCAGCAGUGGGGAAUAUUGCACAAUGGGCGGAAGCCUGAUGCAGCAACGCCGCGUGCGGGAUGACGGCCUUCGGGUUGUAAACCGCUUUCGCCUGUGACGAAGCGUGAGUGACGGUAAUGGGUAAAGAAGCACCGGCUAACUACGUG
rnacentral:rRNA from 1 species